rnacentral:lncRNA from 1 species
GCUUUUUCUUUAUAUUAAGCGUCUUGUCUCUAAAAACCAAAAUAAAUAAAUAAAUAAAUAAAUAAAUAAAUAAAUAUGAUGAUGAUGAUGAUGAUGGUGAUGAUGAUGAUGAUGAUGAUAAUAGAAGAAUAAUGUUUUUAGGGGCAUGCCAUGUCCACCCACUUGGUCUUAUAGGCAAUAGUCAAAAACUCUUACCUUUUCUUCUACCCCCAAAUACAAACCGUGUGAAACACCUUCCAGUUAACACAAGUCAGCACACACCAAGAAAAGCAAAGUUGCUUUGAGAAGACUGCUCCCAGUGUCCAGCAGGCUCACAGAAGACACUAGUAACCAAUGCUGCUUUGUUCUUUGAAAGCACCCUGACACCUGCCCACCCUCGUGUGUGUGCAUGUGUGUGUGAGCACAUACACCUGUCUCUUGGUGUUAUUUCUCAGUAGAUGUCACCUCAGGAUUUUUUUUAAGAUUUAUUUAUUUUUUAUUUAUAUGAUUACACUGCAGCUAUCUUCAGAUACACACUAGAAGAGGGCAUUGGAUCCCAUUACAAAUGGUUGUGAGCCACCAUGUAGUUGCUGGAAAUUGAACUCAGAACCUCUGGAAGAGCAGUCAGUGCUCUUAACCAUUGAGCCACCUCUCCAGCCUGUCACCUCAGUUUUUUGAGGAAAGGUCUGUCAUACUGACCUGGGACUUAAUGAGUAGACUACACUGGCUUGGCAGUGAGCCCCGGGGGUCCUCUUCUCUCUCUUGGGCUGGGAUUGUAAGUGUACAUCACCACACCUGGAUUUUCUUAAUGUAGAGUAUAGGGACCAAACUCAGGUCCUCACACUUAUGCGGCAAGUACUUUAUCAACAGAACCAUCUCCCCAGCCGUCAACCCAGAUCCUUAGAAUCCUUAUUUCAGAAAGACCUGAAAGCUACUUGGCCUAGACCUUCCUGACCUAAAGAGUUAUUUUUCUCUUUCACAAUGUUGUUGUCCACUUUUUUCAUGGACUUGACUCAUCAAAGUCUGAAGGUUGCUCUCACGAUGCUUUGGGCAAAGAGCCAGGCCUCCUUCCCCGGGCCCUCUCGGCCUAUGAAAGAUGCUGCACUGGCUGCUUGGCUGGCAUUUCCCUCGUAGGAUGUUUCCAAGCUCUGAGGGAGCUCUGGGGGAGCAGCAGGCCCCCAGGACUCACAUGGGAGCACAGAGCAGGGGCAGAAGCAGAAGAGAGUUGAAGAACUCCAACUCCUCUCCUGGUAGAGCAGAGUCGGUCUUGAUUCCUAUAAUGGUUAUUAACCUUCGACAAGGCAUAGAUCCUUUCAAGACUCCUAGAGGUAUGGGCCUAUAAUCCCAGCUCCUAGGGGAGUGGGGAGUGGAGUGAUUGCAUGUUCCAGGCCUGCCUGGGCUACAGAGUGAGAUCACAUCCAGCCUGGGCAACUUAGUGAGACCUUGCCUCAAAAAUACACUGUAAAAGGAGGGUUGUGGAUAUAGCUCAGUGGAGUACUUGCCUAGUGUGUAUAAGGAUCAAUCCCCAGUAACAUAAAUAACUAAAAAGUAAAUAGUAAACUAUAGACCUUUAGC